rnacentral:ribozyme from 1 species
GAGAGCACAGUACGAUGAAAGUUGUAAGCUGUGUUUGGGGGGGAGUUAUUGUCUAUCGUUGGCCUCGUACUAGCACGGGCCCAAUAUUUGAUAUUUUUUUGUCUCAAU